rnacentral:rRNA from 1 species
CAGUAGCCACGGUAAUACGAAGGUCCCAAGCGUUGUUCGGAAUCACUGGGCGUAAAGGGAGCGUAGGCGGCGUGGUAAGUCAGAUGUGAAAUCCCGGGGCUCAACCCCGGAACUGCAUCCGAUACUGCCAUGCUUGAGGGUUGGAGAGGUAGCUGGAAUUCUCGGUGUAGCAGUGAAAUGCGUGGAUAUCGAGAGGAACACUCGUGGCGAAGGCGAGCUACUGGACAACAACUGACGCUGAGGCUCGAAGGCCAGGGUAGCGAAAGGGAUUAGAUACCCCUGUAGUCCCUGUCUCUUAUAA